rnacentral:lncRNA from 1 species
GCUGUGUGUUGGUAAAACAACAACAAACAUGUCAAAUGUCUAAAAAGACCUGAGAGCAGUCAAGGAGUUUGGAAGCACCCAGAUCAACUUCCAUAUGGACAGGUGAGAAACACAGAUGUGAGAAGAGAAGUUCUCCUGUUCAUAAAGUUUAUGUGAUGGGAGUGUGUUUGAUGAGAGAGAGAGACCAUCAUUAUUGCUAGAAGACCCGCAAGUUGAGCCCAUAUGAACUAAUUAAA